rnacentral:rRNA from 1 species
UACGUAGGGUGCGAGCGUUGUCCGGAAUUACUGGGCGUAAAGAGCUCGUAGGUGGUUUGUCGCGUUGUCCGUGAAAACUCACAACUCAAUUGUGGGCGUGCGGGCGAUACGGGCAGACUGGAGUACUGCAGGGGAGACUGGAAUUCCUGGUGUAGCGGUGGAAUGCGCAGAUAUCAGGAGGAACACCGAUGGCGAAGGCAGAUCUCUGGGCCGUAACUGACGCUGAGGAGCGAAAGCAUGAGGAGCGAACAGG